CGCCGGGGUCUCCUUUCUGUCCGGGGAAGCCUGGCUGGCCAGCAGCACCGGGAAUACCUUUCUCUCCCCUAACGCCACCACUUCCUGGGGGACCACGAGGGCCUUGUGGGCCAGGCACACCUUCAUACAGAAAAGACCAGAGCAGAUCAGAGGGUGGAGUUCAAGCUCUAACAGUGACUGUGAGGAGGAACGUGCAUAAAAGUCUGGACGCAGUCAAUCUGACCUGAUGGACCUGUGGUGGGCGGCACCGAGCGUCGGCACGAAGCAGGGUCGAAGGCAGAGCCAUGGGAAAUGGAGGUCACAAAAUGCAAUGACGAGGUUGGAAGACGUGUGGGGAUCAGCCGGAUGCAAGUGAUGACAACUCGUUGAUCAUUUAAGGUGGUGCUUGAAAUGCCACACAUUUCACAAUGGCAGAGUUUGUGCAGAGUGGUGGAGCCAUACCUGAUGGUCCAGGAAGUCCUGGCCGUCCAUCUGAUCCUGGAAGCCCAGGGUCACCAGAGAUACCAGGGAUCCCCUUUUGGCCCGGAAAUCCUGUCUUGCCUGGCAGUCCUGGUUCUCCUUUAUCACCCUUUGAAGACAAAGGUGGUGGGCUGUAUCCAGGAGCUCCCGGUGGGCCAACACUACCUCUUUCUCCUUUGAUUCCAGAAGAACCAGGAACACCAUCUCU